UUUUGUCUCGGGUGGUAAGAAUAACUCGGACUAAAGGUCACCCUUUUAAUCCCGGUUGGUGUUACCACUCGGGACUAAAGCUCACGACACCAACCGGAUAAAAUGGGGUCUUUUAUCCCGGUUGGAAACUCCAACCAAGAUAAAAGGGUCCCUCACGCGUGCCUGAAAAAGAGCUAAAGCUCUCGGACCCUUUUAUCCCGAUUUGUAAUACCAACUGGGAUAAAAG
rnacentral:lncRNA from 1 species